CAGCGGUGGGCCGCAGUGUUGAUGUGUGUGAUGUAUUUCGUCGCUGGCAGCCUCCUCGGACAGCUCCAGUCUGUUCAUCAAUGAGCUGGUAAUAGAGUUUGUCUUGUUGGAAAAUGCUACCUGAAGAACACCAAAAGGAACAGUCUAACCACUCACCUGGCCAAAAAUCUCCAUUUUUAAACACCUUCCCCCUCUACCACAGCAACAGUCACAUUUUCCUGUUGUGAAGAAAUCUGACACUAAGUGACAAAAAUGUUGCUUCUGUUACCUGCCAUUGAGUUUUGUUGUUGCAGACCAAGUUUGUUUCUAAAUAGAUGGUUUGCUCUUUUUUUUUUCCAUUGAAAAACCAGACGCUGUCUACAUACGUCACACUCUUGGUGACUGUAGGGGAUGUUGUGUGUGUUAGAAAUGUAAUAAUGGAAAAGGUUAUUGUUCAUGUACAAAUUUGCCUCUACACACUUGAAACUGUAAAAAAGGAAAAGAAAAAAAAAAGAAAAUGGAAAAGAUGUAUAAUUUUUCUUCCACGCUUUAUUAUACAUAACUUUAUUUUGGUCUGUCACAUUAAGUCUAUAUGUUUUUUGUUUUUUUUAUACGUUGCUGUUAUGAGUUCCCAAAACGUGAUGAAGUUGAAGGGGCUUGAAUAUUGUUGUGAAGCCUCGCAGGCAGCCAGCGGAUGUGUUUUAUUUGCUUGUUUUUUUUUGGUGGUGCCAUUUAGCCAGCUGACCCUCAUUUCUUUGCCCACUAUGAUGAGAAUGCCACAGCAAACAGAGCAGACUAGUUUGGCCGGAAGCAUUUUUCCCUAUUUUUUAACACACUUGUCAGCAGCCAUAUCAGUAGGCCCAAAACUGCCAUGAAAGGCCAAUCCAUCCCAACACAGCAAGUGUUACUUGGCGGCUUUAACAAGCACUGUGUCUAAUUGGCUGCGUUUGAGUUUUCCAUUCAUUAGCAAGUUGGUGCCAAACCACUCCAUCACACAGGUGUGACAAUUUCCUUGAUUUUGAUCUUUGUUGUUUCUUUCGCCCUGACCUUUUUUUUUUUCCUUACAUAAAUUUUACUUCAACCCACUCCGUGAGUCAUCUGAGCAUAUCCUCCACUUUAGCACGGAUCCGAUUUGCCAUGGAAGCCAAUGUGCGAGGAAAAGUGUCGUGCCUCCACACACACAAAUACACAACGUGUGCUACCUAAUUAGCAACAAUUCUUCAGUCCUCGCCCACCUUUGAAGAUGUAAGAUGUAGGCAAAUUAGUUCUGACCUCUUGAAUUAUGCAUGCACUCACAAUCAUACAACCAUCAGUUACUAUAUUAAUGUGUUAAAUAAUUUUAAAAUUACCUAAUGUGUUAAAAAUACAAAGGAAGAUCAGGAGCUUCAUAAUCAUAUUAUUAGGUAUGAUAAUAUUUUGUCAUAAAUGUUACAAUGAGCAUCUAACAAAGUGACAUUUUUGCUACACAUGUGCAUUUACUUCCCUUUGCUUUAGCCAAAAUCUUUGAACACUCAACACUGCAAUGCUGGAUGAGUUGUACCGCAAAAAAACCUGAACCUUUAAUUGCAGCAAAAGCUGUCUUCUCCAGGUUCAUGGGAGGCUGGAAGCCUAUGCCGGCACUCAUUAGUUGGGAAGUGGGCCCUGGUCAGGUUCCCUGUCCAUCACAACACAGAGGCCAACAUUAUGUGUCUCUCUUCUAGGCAAAGCUAUUGGCUGAGCUUUUGCUGCAACUAACUGAAUGUGCUCUCUUUCACUUUACACCCUUUAAGACCCACUCAGAAGUGAUCUGCUAAGAUGUGUUUCUCUCCUAGAUGAAGCCACUGAAGGAGCUAACACUGCCAUUAACUUAUUUUUCCUCUAACAUAGAAAAUAGUCCUGGAUGAGGGCUUCUGUUUUUCUUUUUUUUUUGCGUGGGCCUAUAUAUGCUCUGUAUUCUCAAACCCCCAGUCGGUCGUGGCAGAGGACUGUUCACACUGAGCCAGGUUCUGCAGGAGAUUCUUCCUGUUAAAAAAGAGUUUCCCUCUCUACUGUCGCUAUAUGGGUUUAUAAACUGGACUUCACUGCAUUGUUUGUUGUGUCCACUGGGUUGUGCGAUGGGUGGUGGUUGUGUGAGUGUUUGUUUUUCCUACUUUCCUCUUCCUCAGGAAGUGACUGGCAGGUAAAGCCUCAGGCUUGUGCUCAUCAGCUGCAAUCAAGGGUACAGUAUUCUGAAGAGUGAUUUCUCUGCUACCGGUCGUUGCCAGUGCCCUAUUGAAGACCCACUCCUUGACCUCCAGAUAUGUUUCUGAUGCCACACCUAGCUGUUCGCCUGGAUCCUCCAUCGAAUCCUUGCUUGCCUGUCCACUCUCCAACGCUCACCUCCAUCCAGGGUGGCUCAUAAACAGGAUUGCUCACUGCCCCUCUCAGUCAAACUGAAUCCUUGUGGAUACAGUUGCGUCCUGCUCUGAUCAUUACCAUCAACCGGAACAGUAGGACCUUUAAGAUCUACUUUGUUCACUAUGUGAAGAUUCUGUUCAGCAUGCACUCAAAUUCAACCCAGACAGGACUCUCUGCAUUGCAGUCUUUUCAGCACAUUCACUUUGGAAUAAACUUUUCUAUUGCUGCUUGCACUAGAGUUUCCAAUGUAAUCGUCAGGGCAUUGUUGGGUUUAGGGUAAACUGAAUGCAUGAUUGAAUUGUCUUUCUCGUUUUUGCAAAGUGUCUUGAGAUGAUGUGUUGUAAACCGGCACUCUAAAAAAGUUGAUUGAAAUGCUAAAUCAUAUUGUCUAUAGAAUAUGGUAGACUUUGUCACAAAAUGUCUUCAUCUGUAUUAAGGUACAAAAAAUAGUAUCUGAAAAAAAACCCAUAAUUUUGGUGUUUCUAAAAUAUACUUUUUCAUAGGAACCCUAGUUGAAACAUUUGUGUAUUCACAUAAAACGGUUCUUGUUUGAUUGUUACGUAAGGAAUGCAGUUAAAGUUGCUAGAAGCUCUAUGAAAAAAAUAGUUUAUUCUUCAAUUGAAAUUCAAAUGUAAAAAUACUUUAUCCCAAAGGGAAAUCAAAUGUCGUAGCUCAUUAUUUUGAUGGGUGUCUGAGCUCUA